rnacentral:lncRNA from 1 species
GACGAUGUCCGGGUGAGAGUUCUCAAGAGCGCUGAUUCGGUGAUGUACCUCUUGAGCUUGGUGCUUGUAGGAUUCUUCCUCUUCGCACGCCUUUGCCAGCUUGGCACGAUCAGCCAUAUACCGUAGGGCUCUGAACAUCGGGAUCUGCAUUGAUUCGAUGUAUGCCAUGGGUGCAAGAGCUUCUUUUGCGUCCUCUUGGACUCGGCCUUUGAUUUCGUUGAAAAUUUGUCAAAUUGGCGAGGUGUCUUCCCUGGAGGAGGGUUUGGAUAUUCUGGAGCUUGGCACGUAUUUCUUCGGGGUUUGAACCUAGA